UGUUUCUGACUUUCAAGGGUUAAACUGUUAUAACUGUUAUGUGGUAAUAUAUGUGUGCCGCAUUUCUCUUGAACUAAUGUUAUGUAGAUUACGGUAAAGUUUAUGUGAGGUGUACUCUCUCAACAUGUGGGUUUGACCAGCAUGUAUGUUUUUAUUUGUGAUUGGAUAUUGGUUUACUUGCUCCCGCCUAUGUGAGGGUAUUGAUAAUUCUGAUUGGUAGAGGGAGGGGAGAGAUGGAGGCAGAUCGGAAAGAGAUGUCGUAUUUUUUCCUCUGGUGAUUCUGAGGGAAAAAUAUACUCAAAUAACUGCUGACUUAGUGGUCAAAGAGUAUAUUUAGUAUACAGAAAGUGUUAAAGAACGUUUCUGUAAUUUGUUUUAUUUGUUAUACUUUCACUAAGAGUUUAAACAGACUUAUUUUAUUGCUGCUGUGUGCACUGUAAUCUUUUCUUUUACGUCGAGUAAAAUCUAUUCGCGGGAUCUGGUUUUUAGAUAAAUCGUUCCGAGGAAGACGACUACAGUACGAGGAACCAGAUAGCGUUCUAAAUCCCCUCGUGGUUUAGAAUUCCUCUGGCAUCGCGGGAUUCGUAAUCAUUCAGCGGACAGCUGGUGAGACUACAGACGCAUACGGAGUGUCUAACGUGAUCGGUGGACAGCGCGUGUGCCGAAACGGGAAGACACAGGUACAUUUGUUGGUUUAUUUAGCUCUUUGGAGCGAAGAGGCCAUUUGUUGGUUUUCACGGCCACACCGUUCUCAAGCAACGACACAGGCCUGCGACAGGUUGGGGUUUUUUGAAGCUAAGAAUUCAAGCACUAAUGAAGAAAAUGCAGUGUUGUGCGGUGGAUUGAUGAAGCAAUCUCUCUCACCUUCACUGAGCCCAGCAUGCCGCCAACAAAUAGUGUACGUGAACCCUGAAUUACCGUGAGGCCUCGAUCCGAUGCCAGUUUCCAUCGUUGAUGACGAGAUCGGGACAUUCGACACGGCCGACCCCUGAUCCCACAUCCCACAGGAAGUUCACCUUACCCUUCCUCAUCUCAAUUGCCAAGAAAUCCACCUACACACGAUUGAGGAAACACAGCCCUCAUCAAACAUGACAUUAUAUGUGUGUGGAAGAGUAAUACACUCUCAUUAUUUCCCUCGUCAUCUCUGUUUCUGACUCAAAUGUACAUCAGACUGAUCGCUUAAGCAGAAGAAAUCCAGACAGUUUCUCACUCACAUAUUUGGCCGAUCCGAGGUAGAAGAGCAGGUUAUCAGCAGUAACCGUCUUCACAUGGAGGAUGAUGGUGUUAUAGCGGCCUUUCUUGAUCUCCGGCCGGUAGGUGCGGAUACAGUCUCCUCCGGAUGACACAGACACCUUAAUCUAGGGGUCAAAGGUCAUGAGAGGUCAAGCCAGAGAGUGCAGACAGCACACGACGAAUGAUCUUAUUUCUCUUCUUGCAGCUUGUAGCAUAUUUAAGGAGAAAUCAACAAGAACUUCUUAAAAUUAAGACCAUUCUACAAUUAUAGAUUUUGUGUUCAUAGAAAUGUGGCAAAUUUUGUAUGAUAAAUCAAAAGUAGGUCUGUACACUUAAUUAAAUGAUAAGAACUGGCGUCCAUGACAUAUUGAACUUCUACAUUCAUUUUACAUUUCACAGAGUUACAGUAAAUCAUUCAGUUAAUUAAUUAAUUUUGGGGAAUAUAUAUGGUACUUUCUAUAUGGAACAGAAAUGAUUACAAACUGAAAGUAAAGUGAUUUUUGCCUUAAUACAGUACAACUGCAUGGUUUGAAUAAAGACUUUAAUUUAUAUAGUUUUCUAUAAUGUGAAGAUUUUUUUUUAUCUUCUCGUGCAUUUUGUAUAUCCUUCUCUUUAAAUAUAUAUGUUUGUUAACUAUUAUUACAUAUGUCAGGAAUUGUAUAUUAAGAUGAAAAGUUUCAAAAACAUUUGAACACUGAGCAAGGUCCUGCAUUGUUGUUUUAAAAUGCACUGAGCACUUGAUUUGUUUGUAACAUGCACUUUGUAACAAUAAAGAAGAUUGCUUGCAUCUCA